rnacentral:lncRNA from 1 species
CUAUACUUAGGUUUAUCUUCAUCUCAUGCUACUUUUUUGUCAACAACUGCUAGCCCCGAAUGGUCAAUAUGGAGUGAAUGUUCUACAACAUGUGGAAAUGGUUACAGGACUCGACGUUCUUUUGGAGUGAUGAAUUACGGAACUGAAACAAAAAGUUGUAAAAUUAUAUACU